GGGCCCGUAGCUCAGCCUGGUAGAGCAGCGGACUUUUAAUCCGCGUGUCGAGGGUUCAAAUCCCUCUGGGCUCG
rnacentral:tRNA from 1 species